rnacentral:rRNA from 1 species
GUUGGGAAUAUUGGACAAUGGGAGCAAUCCUGAUCCAGCAAUCCCGCGUGAGUGAUGAAGGCCCUCGGGUCGUAAAGCUCUUUUAGGAGGGACGAAGGGAAACUUGACGGUACCUCCAGAAAAAGCACCGGCUAACUCUGUGCCAGCAGCCGCGGUAAUACAGAGGGUGCAAGCGUUGUUCGGAAUCAUUGGGCGUAAAGCGCGUGUAGGCGGCCAUCUAAGUCUGGUGUGAAAGCCCAGGGCUUAACCCUGGAAGUGCACUGGAUACUGGAAGGCUAGAGGGCGAGAGAGGACAAUGGAAUUCAUGGUGUAGGGGUGAAAUCCGUAGAUAUCAUGAGGAACAUCUGUGGCGAAGGCGAUUGUCUGGCUCGUUUCUGACGCUGAGACGCGAAAGCGUGGGGAGCAAACAGGAUUAGAAACCCUAGUAGUCC